CCUACGGGAGGCAGCAGUGGGGGAUAUUGCACAAUGGGGGAAACCCUGAUGCAGCGACGCCGCGUGUGGGAAGACGGUCUUCUGGAUUGUAAACCACUGUCCCCAGGGACGAAACUGAAGGUACCUGGGGAGGAAGCUCCGGCUAAAUACGUGCCAGCAGCCGCGGUAAUACGUAGGGAGCAAGCGUUGUCCGGAAUUACUGGGUGUAAAGGGAGCGUAGGCGGGGAUGAAAGUUGGGUGUAAAAACUACCGGCUCAACCGAUAGUCGCACUCAAAACUGCAGCUCUUGAGUGAAGUAGAGGCAGGCGGAAUUCCUAGUGUAGCGGUGAAAUGCGUAGAUAUUAGGAGGAACACCAGUGGCGAAGGCGGCCUGCUGGGCUUUUACUGACGCUGAGGCUCGAAAGUGUGGGGAGCAAACAGGAUUAGAUACCCCAGUAGUC
rnacentral:rRNA from 1 species